rnacentral:snoRNA from 1 species
GAAAGAAAACUGACAUUGAGUUCUCUCUUAAAACUUUUUCCUAAUCAGGACAAGCUAAACAUUCUUAAUAUUGAGACCACGCAUGCCGCCCCAGACUUAAUUCUUUCCCUAGGUCUGGUUGCAUAAAUGCUGGUGAUAAAC